rnacentral:rRNA from 1 species
AGUGAACGCUGGCGGUAUGCCUAACACAUGCAAGUCGAACGGCAGCACAGUAAUAGCUUGCUCUUACGGUUGGCGAGGGGCGGACGGGUGAUGGAUACAUCGGAAUCUACUUUUUCGUGGGGGAUAACGUAGGGAAACUUACGCGAAUACCGCAUACUACCUACGGGUGAAAGCAGGGGAUCUUCGGACCUUGCGCGAGUUAAUGGGCCGAUGGCUGAUUAGCUAGUUGGCGGGGUAAAGGCCCACCAAGGCGACGAUCCGUAGCUGGUCUGGGAGGAUGAUCAGCCCCACUGGAACUGGGCCACGGUCCAGACUCCUAGGGGAGGCAGAAGUGGGGACUAUUGGACAAUGGGCGCAAGCCUGAUCCAGCCAUACAGCGUGGGUGAAGAAGGCCUUCGGGUUGUAAAGCCCUUUUGUUGGGAAAGAAAAGCAGCAGGUUAAUACACGGCUGUUCUGACGGUACCUAAAGAAUAAGCACCGGCUAACUUCGUG